rnacentral:rRNA from 1 species
AUUGAACGCUGGCGGCAGGCCUAACACAUGUAAGUCGAGCGGAGCGGCGGACGGGUGAGUAAUGCCUAGGAAUCUGCCUGGUAGUGGGGGAUAACGUCCGGAAACGGGCGCUAAUACCGCAUACUAUCAGAUGAGCCUAGGUCGGAUUAGCUAGUUGGUGGGGUAAAGGCCUACCAGGGCGACGAUCCGUAACUGGUCUGAGAGGAUGAUCAGUCACACUGGAACUGAGACACGGUCCAGCAUCCUACGGGAGGCAGCAGUGGGGAAUAUUGGACAAUGGGCGAAAGCCUGAUCCAGCCAUGCCGCGUGUGGGAAGAAGGUCUUCGGAUUGUAAAGCACGUGUAGUUGGGAUGCGUUACCUACAGAGUUGCCACAGGCUAACUACGUGCCAGCAGCCGCGGUAAUAC